rnacentral:rRNA from 1 species
UACGAAGGGGGCUAGCGUUGCUCGGAAUUACUGGGCGUAAAGCGCACGUAGGCGGUUCGUUAUGUCGGAUGUGAAAGCCCUUGGCUUAACCGAGGAAGUGCAUCCGAAACUGGCGAGCUAGAGUACGAAAGAGGAUCGCGGAAUUCCCGGUGUAGAGGUGAAAUUCGUAGAUAUCGGGAGGAACACCGGUGGCGAAGGCGGCGAUCUGGGUCGAUACUGACGCUGAGGUGCGAAAGCGUGGGGAGCAAACAGG